rnacentral:misc_RNA from 1 species
CAAGCAAAUCCGAAAGCAUCUCCUAGUUUCGGUAAAAGAUACAUCAGAAGCCAGAAAGAAAUAUAUACAACAUCCCUUGAAUUCCAAGUAAUAAUAAAAGAAACAAAGAAGCA